rnacentral:lncRNA from 1 species
AGCAAUAUCACCUUAGUCUUUCUUUCAAUUUGUUUGGCUCUUCAAUCCAUGUCUUCCAUCUCUCUGCCCUUUUCUUCUCCAUCCUCUCCCACCCUAGUUCUCUUUCGUCCAGGAACUCUUCUUGAUUGUCAGCCUUCUUUCCUUUCUCGUCUCUCUUCUUUCCAAUGGGAUAACGCUUAAGACAUGAUCUCCCCUCUUUCUGGGCCUGGUAUCCUGUCGUUGGCCUCUUUGGACUUGGGCAGUUGCUCUUUGAAGACCAUUGCAUCUGAAGGCCUAGGUUAACGCCUAAUUUGGG